rfam:Thioalkalivibrio nitratireducens DSM 14787, complete genome.
CGCGCCCUGCGGCAACGCACGGCGUGACUGGGCAGAAGCCAGCAGAGGCCAUAGUAAUCGGCAGGGGGGGGGGGCGGAACCCCCAACGAUGAAGGGC